rnacentral:rRNA from 1 species
GACGAACGCUGGCGGCGUGCCUAAUACAUGCAAGUAGAACGCACAGUUUAUACCGUAGCUUGCUACACCAUAGACUGUGAGUUGCGAACGGGUGAGUAACGCGUAGGUAACCUGCCUGGUAGCGGGGGAUAACUAUUGGAAACGAUAGCUAAUACCGCAUAAUAUUAAUUAUUGCAUGAUAAUUAAUUGAAAGGUGCAAUUGCACCACUACCAGAUGGACCUGCGUUGUAUUAGCUAGUAGGUGAGGUAACGGCUCACCUAGGCGACGAUACAUAGCCGACCUGAGAGGGUGAUCGGCCACACUGGGACUGAGACACGGCCCAGACUCCUACGGGAGGCAGCAGUAGGGAAUCUUCGGCAAUGGACGAAAGUCUGACCGAGCAACGCCGCGUGAGUGAAGAAGGUUUUCGGAUCGUAAAGCUCUGUUGUAAGAGAAGAACGGGUGUGAGAGUGGAAAGUUCACACUGUGACGGUAUCUUACCAGACAGGGACGGCUAACUACGUG